rnacentral:rRNA from 1 species
GACGAAGGGGGCUAGCGUUGCUCGGAAUUACUGGGCGUAAAGCGCACGUAGGCGGCUUGUUAAGUCGGGGGUGAAAUCCUGGAGCUCAACUCCAGAACUGCCUUCGAUACUGGCGAUCUCGAGUUCGGGAGAGGUGAGUGGAACUGCGAGUGUAGAGGUGAAAUUCGUAGAUAUUCGCAAGAACACCAGUGGCGAAGGCGGCUCACUGGCCCGAUACUGACGCUGAGGUGCGAAAGCGUGGGGAGCAAACAGG